ACAGAGGGUGCGAGCGUUAAUCGGAAUGACUGGGCGUAAAGGGCGAGUAGGCGGGAUAAUAAGUGAAGUGGUAAAGACAUGGGCUUAACCUGUGGGUGACACGUCAUACUGUUAUUCUAGAGAGGAGGAGAGGAGAGUGGAAUUUCCGGAGGAGCGGUGAAAUGCGUAGAUCUCGGAAAGAACACCGGUGGCGAAGGCGACUCACUGGCCUCCAUCUGACGCUGAGGCGCGAAAGCGUGGGGAGCAAACAG
rnacentral:rRNA from 1 species